AUUCUUGGAGCUCGGUUCCGCGGUCGGUCCGGAUCUCCCGGGAAGUCUCGCCGGAGUCAGGCAGGCCUUAGGAAGAAGCUGCCUGAUGUGCAAGGUUUCAUAGGCCGUCAGAGGGGGCAUCCUGGAGGAGCCCUGGCAUCAGGAAAGUGAGCCCCCCAUGGCAGCCCGCAGGAAUGAACCAGUGCUCAGGGCAGAAAAAUUCUGCCUGACCUUUCCCAUCUUCCUGAUGAUGUUAACAAACGACAGCCACUGAGGGCACAGGAGGGGGCUCUACACAGGCCAAGAGCUACAGGCUACAGUCUGAGCACAGAAAACCCUCCAGCUCCAGCAUCCAGGGCCACAGCUGGACACAAGUACAGAACCUGGCAGCCCUGCAGCCCAGACAAUGCCCAGGGUGUGAUUUAGGGUGCAGAGCUGCAACUCAGAUCCUGUGCCAUGGCAGUAUCACAGGAAGGACUUGACGGAGAGGUGAAGGCUCCAGACGCCAGGAUAUUUAUUCCCUGUGCCAAUACAGCAUUCACACCUGACCU
rnacentral:lncRNA from 1 species